rnacentral:rRNA from 1 species
AGGGCACCACCAGGAGUGGAGCCUGCGGCUUAAUUUGACUCAACACGGGAAAACUCACCCGGCCCGGACACCGUAAGGGUUGACAGAUUGAGAGCUCUUUCUUAAUUCGGUAGGUGGUGGUGCAUGGCCGUCCUUAGUUGGUGGAGCGAUUUGUCUGGUUAAUUCCGAUAACGAACGAGACUCUGGCCUAUUAAAUAGACGGCGUAUCGAAACGUACGUCGAGCUUCUUAGAGGGACAAGCGGCGUCUAGCCGCAUGAAAUAGAGCAAUAACAGGUCUGUGAUGCCCUUAGAUGUCCGGGGCUGCACGCGCGCUACACUGAAAGAAUCAGCGUGCGCGUACGCCUGGUUCGGAAGGACCGGGUAACCCGAUGAAAUUCUUUCGUGCUUGGGAUAGGGAAUUGCAAUUAUUUCCCUUGAACGAGGAAUUCCCAGUAAAUGCGGGUCAUAAGCUCGCGUUGAUUACGUCCCUGCCCUUUGUACACACCGCCCGUCGCUACUACCGAUUGGAUGACUUAGUG